AAAUUGAAGAGUUUGAUCAUGGCUCAGAUUGAACGCUGGCGGCAGGCCUAACACAUGCAAGUCGAACGGUAACAGGAAGCAGCUUGCUGCUUCGCUGACGAGUGGCGGACGGGUGAGUAAUGUCUGGGAAGCUGCCUGAUGGAGGGGGAUAACUACUGGAAACGGUGGCUAAUACCGCAUAACGUCGCAAGACCAAAGAGGGGGACCUUCGGGCCUCUUGCCAUCAGAUGUGCCCAGAUGGGAUUAGCUAGUUGGUGAGGUAACGGCUCACCAAGGCGACGAUCCCUAGCUGGUCUGAGAGGAUGACCAGCCACACUGGAACUGAGACACGGUCCAGACUCCUACGGGAGGCAGCAGUGGGGAAUAUUGCACAAUGGGCGCAAGCCUGAUGCAGCCAUGCCGCGUGUAUGAAGAAGGCCUUAGGGUUGUAAAGUACUUUCAGCGGGGAGGAAGGUGUUG
rnacentral:rRNA from 2 species